UAACGCGUAAACAACCUGCCCUACGGAUGGGGACAACAGCUGGAAACGGCUGCUAAUACCGAAUACGUUCCGGAAGUCGCAUGACUAUCGGAAGAAAGGAUGGCCUCUAUUUAUAAGCUAUCGCCGGAGGAGGGGUUUGCGUCUGAUUAGCUAGUUGGAGGGGUAACGGCCCACCAAGGCGACGAUCAGUAGCCGGUCUGAGAGGAUGAACGGCCACAUUGGAACUGAGACACGGUCCAG
rnacentral:rRNA from 1 species